AUACUUACCUGGCAGGGGAGAUACCAUGAUCAUGAAAGUGGUUUUCCCAGGCGAGGCUUAUCCAUUGCACUCUGGAUGUGCUGACCCUUGCUAUUUCCCCAAAUGUGGGAAACUCGACUGCAUAAUUUGUGGUAGUGGGGUACAGAGUUCAUGCUUUCCCCUG